CACGAGUGCCCUAUUUGAGGGUCAGUCACACUGGAUUACUCUGCCACUGCUGGGCACGAGGAAGGCAAUUAACAGGAAAGGGAUAGAGGAGCAGCACACAUACUUGCAGUGACCUAAAAUCAUAAUUUGCACAUCAAACAGAACCUGUCUUCAUCCUGGACUAUUUGCAUAUAAUAACACGAAGGUACUGUUUGUCAAUGUCAAGUAGAAGUCUUCCUUCUUGUGAUGCAGCAGUACCUUCUGUCUUUGUGUCUUCUGCUGGGAUGCUGGGGCUUACGCACCAGUAGCAGAUCAAGUUCAUAGAGAGAGAAAGGAAUAGUGAUGGAGAGGGAGACUCAUUCCAUGGCUUUGAAGAAGGGGUUGAUGGGUAACCUUCAGCAAGACAGGAGUCACGUCAGUCACGGUGGACUCCCUAAGCCAACUAAACCAACAAAUUGUUGAAGCAUUGGGCCUGUGGUGAUUUUGGUUGAGCCGUGUAAAUGUUGAGCCGCUUCACUGCAGGAAGAUUGGACAAUAUGUUUUAAAAUCAAAUUUGAAAAAUAAGAAUAAAAAAAGUUUUGUUUGAAAUCUUUUACAAACCACACCAUAUGUCAUUUCCACGCUCCCCAUGUCAUUUUUGAUGACUCAACCGUGACACAUUUAACAUUUUCAAACACCAUCCAUACCAGUGGGCUUAUCAACUCAAAUCUCAGAGGAACAAAUACUGUA